rnacentral:rRNA from 1 species
UACGUAGGGGGGCAAGCGUUGUCCGGAAUCAUUGGGCGUAAAGCGCGCGUAGGCGGCCAGAUUAGUCCGGUGUGAAAGUCAGAGGCUCAACCUUUGAAUGCCGCUGGAAACUGUCUGGCUUGAGUCCGGAAGGGGCGAGUGGAAUUCCUGGUGUAGCGGUGAAAUGCGCAGAUAUCAGGAGGAACACCAAUGGCGAAGGCAGCUCGCUGGAACGGUACUGACGCUGAGGCGCGAAAGCGUGGGGAGCAAACAGG